UACGUAGGGGGCAAGCGUUAUCCGGAUUUACUGGGUGUAAAGGGAGCGUAGACGGUGAUGCAAGUCAGAAGUGAAAGCCCGGGGCUCAACUCCGGGACUGCCGUUGAAACCGGAGCGCUAGAAUUCCGAUGCCGUCGGAGGAAUGUGUGGUGUAGCGGUGAAAUGCAUAGAUAUCACACAGAACACCGAUUGCGAAGGCAUCUGACGAAUCGGAGAUUGACGCUGAUGCACGAAAGCGUGGGUAUCGAACAGG
rnacentral:rRNA from 1 species